CAUCCUGUGCAACCGCACCAAAAUCGUCCAUAAGUAGAUUUUAUAUCUCACGGUUACAGGCGAGUCUUCACAGAGGG
rfam:Streptococcus parauberis NCFD 2020 Noncontiguous_Finished_Chromosome chromosome, whole genome shotgun sequence.